AAGUCGUAACAAGGUUUCCGUUUCGUAACAAGGUUUUUGAUUGUGCAAGGAUAGCGCUUCUACGAUUCCUGUAGACCGUACACUCGGGCAGGAGCUUUGCCAAAGGGUCCCCAUGCCCCCUAACCCACAGUUUAAUGUGAAGCUCAAUGUAAUACAUUGGGUAAAAAAACCGAACAACUGUUAACAAUGGAUAUCUUGGUUCUC
rnacentral:misc_RNA from 1 species